rnacentral:rRNA from 1 species
AAUCUCGUGCUGACGAGCGGCGGACGGGUGAGUAACGCGUAGGAAUCUACCUAGUAGAAGGGGAUAGCCCGAGGAAACUCGGAUUAAUACCGUAUACGUCCUUAGGGAGAAAGAGGGCUGAGCUUGAUGCUCUCGCUAUUAGAUGAGCCUGCGUAAGAUUAGCUUGUUGGUGAGGUAAAGGCUCACCAAGGCUACGAUCUUUAGCUGGUCUGAGAGGACGAUCAGCCACAUUGGGACUGAGACACGGCCCAGACUCCUACGGGAGGCAGCAGUGGGGAAUAUUGGACAAUGGGCGCAAGCCUGAUCCAGCCAUACCGCGUGUGUGAAGAAGGCUUUCGGGUUGUAAAGCACUUUAAGUGAGGAAGAAAAGAUAAUAGUUAAUACCUGUUAUCCGUGACAUUACUCACAGAAUAAGGACCGGCUAAUUCCGUGCCAGCAGCCGCGGUAAUACGGAAGGUCCAAGCGUUAAUCGGAAUUACUGGGCGUAAAGCGCGCGUAGGUGGUUUAUCAAGUUGGUUGUGAAAGCCCCGGGCUUAACCUGGGAACUGCAGCCAAAACUGAUUCACUAGAGUACGAAAGAGGAAAGUAGAAUUCACAGUGUAGCGGUGGAAUGCGUAGAUAUUGUGAAGAAUACCAAUUGCGAAGGCAGCUUUCUGGUUCUGUACUGACACUAAGGUGCGAAAGCGUGGGGAGCGAACAGGAUUAGAUACCCUGGUAGUCCACGCCGUAAACGAUGACAACCAGCUGUUGGGAAGCAAUGCUUUUCAGUGGCGCAGCUAACGUCUUAAGUUGUCCGCCUGGGGAGUACGG